UUAAGGAAGACAAGAUAAAAUAUCAGUGAUUUAAUUUUAGAGUGUCUUCUGUGUUUUAAUUUUUCAUUUUGUUGAGCAAUUGUGAGUUAUAUGUUAUGCAUAUCAACUUGUAAUUUAUUUCAUUCUUGUAAAAUCGUAAGAAGUUUAGUCAUAAAGAUGAGUUUGACUAGUGUAAUAACAAGUAAUGUGCAUCGUAGUACUUUCUUUUAUAAGUAAUGUGCAUCUUAAUGUUUUUGUGAUCUUAAUUUUUUAAAUAUUAUUUCUAUUUACUAUCCAAGGUUAUGGCACCAAGUAAGCGAUACAACUUGUUGAUAACCGACUUGACGAAUCCUACUUAAUUGGGGUGCAAAUUUUUUGCCUUUAGAAGAACAGGAGAAUUGUAUGAAAUACGAUGUCCGUGUGUCAAAUGUUGUAACACAACAUUAGGAACACGUGAGACAGUCGAGAUACAUUUGAAAGCAUAUGAAAUAAUUCAAAAUUAUACUUUUUGGUAUCAUCAGGGAGUAGUUCUGGGUGAGCCACAGUUGGAAUGCGAAGUUGAAGAUAAUAAUGAAGUAGAUGAUUAUGAGGAUAAUGAUGAAAUACAUGAAAUGCUGAGGGAUUUGUAUCCUAAUCAUGAUGGAGGCACUGCUGAUGUUGGUUACAAUGAUUUACUUGAAGAAGAACCAAAUGUUGAAGCCAAAAAGUUUUACAGCCUAUUGAAAGAUUUCGAGAAGCCACUAUACCAAAGUUCGAAAAUUUCAAAGCUUUUCACUUUGAUUAAACUGCUUCACAUAAAAAGUAUGGGUCAUUGGAGCAACGAGUCAUUUACAAUGUUAUUAAAAAUGUUGAAGGAUGAGAUGUUGCUUGAUGGAGCGAAUUUGCCAAAUUCAUAUUAUGAGGCAAAGAAGGUGAUUCGGGACCUUGGGCUUUCCUACCAAAAAAUUGAUGCUUGUAUAAAUGAUUGCAUGCUAUAUUGGAAGGAAGAUAAUUUACUUGAUUCCUGUAUAGUCUGUGGUGCAUCCAGAUGGAAAAUAGAUAAACAUAGCGGGGAAGCAAAGAAUAAGAAUGGUAAAAAAAUAGCAUCAAAUUUUUUACGUUAUUUUCCAUUGAAGCCUAGGCUUCAAAGGUUGUAUAUGUAUGCAAAGACAUCUUCUCUAAUGACAUGACAUCAUGAUAAAAGGGUUGAUGAUGGAACAAUGAGGCAUCCAGCUGAUUCAAUGGCAUGAAAAUCAUUUGAUGAACUUCAUCCCUCAUUUGCGGCUGAGCCUCGUAAUAUUCGACUUGGACUUGCUAGUGAUGGAUUCCAGCCAUUUCGGAAUUCAAAAACCUCAUAUAGUAUUUGGCCUGUGGUACUUAUUCCUUAUAAUUUACUACCUUGGUUGUGUAUGAAACAGGAAAAUUUCAUUAUGUCCAUGCUUAUACCUGGUCCAGAUAGUCCAGGAGAUACAAUUGACAUAUAUCUUCAACUCUUGAUAGAGGAGUUGAAUGAGUUAUGGGAAAUUGGUGUUGAGACCUUUGAUGCAUCAAGCUGACAGAAUUUUAAGUUACAUGCUUCUUUGUUAUGGACCAUCAAUGACUUUCCAGCAUAUGCAAAUUUAUCUGGAUGUAGUACAAAAGGUAAAUUGGCAUGCCCAUGUUGCAAUAAAGACACUUCCUCAAUCAGAUUGAAGAAUAGUAAGAAACAAUGUUUUAUGGGUCAUCAGCGUUACUUUCCUCUUAAUUACAAAUGGAUGAAUGAUAAGGAGUCAUUUGAUGGCACAAAAGAGAAAAAGCUCCCGCCAAAAAUGUGUUAUGGUAUUGAAAUACUUAAUCAAGUGCAAGAUCUUAAAGGGUUACAGUUAACAAAAGAUCCAAAGAAAAGGACCAAGAUAUCACAUGAUGUUCAAAAAGAUAAUUGGAAUAGGAGGAGUAUCUUUUUUGAACUUCUAUAUUGGAAAUCACUCUUGUUGCGACAUAAUUUGGAUGCUAUGCAUAUUGAAAAAAAUAUAUGCGAUAAUAUUUUGGGGACGAUCAUGAAUGCCAAAGGAAAGACCAAGGACACCAUUAAAACUCGACUCGAUUUGCAAGAAAUGAACAUUAGGCCGGAAUUGCACCCAAUCAGAAAAGGAGAAAAAUAUGAAGUUCCAGCUGCAUGUUACACAUUAUCUCCCCAAGAAAAGCACAACAUAUGCCUUUUCUUAAAGAAUUUAAAGGUACCAGAUGGAUUUUCAUCUAAUAUUUCUCAAAAUGUUAACUUGAAAGAGCACAAGAUUUCUGGAUUAAAGAGUCAUGAUUUUCAUGUUCUUAUACAACAUUUACUCCCUCUUGCUCUACAUGGUAUGCUAUCCAAAACAGUGUGUGAACCCCUUAUCGAGUUGUCUUUAUUUUUUAAUGUGUUUGAAUAAAAGGCAUUAAGGACUAGUGACUUGGAUCAGAUUGAAGCUCAAAUUCCUAUAACACUUUGUAAGUUAGAAAAGGUAUUCCCUCCCACAUUUUUUGAUAUCAUGGUGUACUUGCCUACUCACUUAGCUAAUGAAGCUAAGCUUGCUGGACCGGUUCAGUAUCGGUGGAUGUAUCCUAUAGAACGAUGGUUAUAUUUUUUGAAAUCUCUCAUUGGUAAUAGGGCUUGUCCAGAAGGUUCAAUUGUAGAGGGGUACCUUGCAAAUGAAUGUAUGAUCUUAUGUUCUAGGUAUCUAAAUAGAAUCGACAUAGUUUAAUCGGCCAGAACGAAAUUACGAUGGUGGUUUAAAAUAUUCUGAUGGAGGUUUAUCUCUAUUUUGUAAAUCUGGAAAAACUUUAGGAGCUCCAAAACAUCAUGAUCUUGAAGCGGAUGAAUUUGAGCAAGCACAUAUAUAUACAUACUGAAGAAUUGUGAUGAUGUUUUACCAUUUCUAGAGUAUGAAAUCAUGUCCUUCAUAUCGUAUUUUGUUUUCGUUGUUUCCUUUAGGAUUGUUUAUCCUUUAUAUAUGAUAUCUGUAGUUCAACUAAAAUUUUUAAAAAGUUUGCAUGAACUCAUGUGGAUUCUACUCAACACUUGUCUGAUACAGAAUGGAACAGACAAUUUACUGACUUUUGGAUUCAAUUUAAUUGUUGUAAUAGCAAUAUGUGGUAGUUUAGGGCCUAGAUGUCAACUUGCAUCUUUUAUUUGUAUGUAGUUUGUUUUCUAUUGUGAUAUGCUGAUCUGUCAUGAAACCUUGAUGUAGAAUGUCUCAGCAGAAUCAGUAAGUUUACGGUUUUGUAUUUGCUGGAACUUGUAUUGUUUACCGUAGCAAGCUUUUGGAACGUCACUGGUCAGGCAUGUUUUGUUCAUUACCCGUAUGAAUCGAUUUAUGGAGUAGGUUAGUGAAAGAAACAAAGUACCUAGUUAGGUAUCCAAACAGAGAACCUAGUUGUUUACAAUGACUGUAUUGGAAUGGACAGUUUCAGUAUGAAGAAACACUUAAAUAUUCACCAUUUUUGUGCAUUUGCACAUCAUUACUGGUGCCAUUGGGACUACCUGGAUGAUGCAGUUACUGUUGGUGCAUGUUCUAUGUUUUAAAUUCACAAAAUUGAAAUAAAGCUAAGGCAUUUGUUAAUUCAAGCUUUAUCGUAGAAUUAUGUUUUCUUCUAUCACAUGGAGUUUCUAUGAUGAUAUUGGAUAUCAAUCUAUGUUUAAUGUAUUGCAAGAUAAAUUUGAGAGUGAUGACAUGGAUAUCCAUCGUGAUCAUAUUUUGGGAUGAAUGAAAGAGUUAUGGAACAAAUGGAGAGGACAAUUGCAUGCAGAAUAUGUGAAGGGUAAGCCAAUCCAAGAGGCUCUUAAGAAUGUGCCCAAGAGGGUAGACAAGAAACAAUGGGAGUGGUUGGUAAAGGAACAUUUUUCUACAGAAAGUUUUCAGGCGAGAAGUAACAGGAAUGCAGCAAAUAAAACUAAGUUGAAGAUGCUUCUUCAUAUUGGUAGCAAGCCAAUUGAGAGAUUAUUUAUCAAAGGGCGGAAAAGAUGGCAAACCACCAGAUUUGACAACUAUUUUCUUCGAGACUCGCAAGAAGAAUAACACACUUGUUAAUAAUCGAGAAACAUGCUCAAAUCAAGAAAUUGGUGCAGUCUGAACUGUCACUUCCUAACAUAGAGAUUGUAGAAAAAUGUUUUAGACCUCAAAGUCGUAGUCAUGUAUUUGGCUUUGGGGGUGGAUUAAAGGUGAAAGAUUUGAAAGGGGGAACUACCUCAAAACCUGAAUUAUUGGCUAAGCUACGUUCAAUUGAAAAUGAAAACUAGUCUUUGAAGGAUCGUCUGUCUAACUUCGAAAAUAAGAUAAGAAAACUGAGGAAAAUAAAAGAAUUAGUAUUAGUACAACAAACUAAUUUCCAGCCUCCAACUCAGGAGAAUGACUAUUGGGAUCCUUGAUGAUACCAGGUUUUGGAUAUUAAAGUUUACAAGAAGCCGAUUUUUGAUGACAUACAGAUCAACCAUCAUUUUGCUGGGAAUUUCAAGAAAAUUUUACAUUACAAUCGAGGGAUAUUAUUAGUAUAUGUAGUUUUUUGCUAAAUGUUUAUGAACACAAUAUUGUGACUAGCUUACAUCAUUGAUGUACGAUUCAACUAAUUAACUUAUGUUGAUCAUUUUUGGUAUUAUUUUA